rnacentral:lncRNA from 1 species
AAGUUGGUCAUGGUGAUUCCAUUCCCCUUGCCGACCAUUGGCUUACAAAAGAGCCCGGUAACAAUUACAGCCAAUGAGAUAUGAAGGAAAGGUUUUUGAGAAGUGUGGAGAGGCUUGGGAAAGCGUUCUUGUUUUACAAAGAAAUGUCACUCUCACUACGAUCUUCACAUUUUGUUGUGUGAAGAUGUUAUGCUUACAGCUGUUGCCGCCGUCUUUUAUCCACAAGCCAAUUUGGGUGAAGUCCUUUGCUACUUACGGCCAAAAAAACUAAACGUGAGAAUCCAGCUCUGGUCAGAAGAUUGCCCAGUGUGCAAGGACUCCAAGUGAGGUGAGUUGAUCGAGUUCUUCAAAUGGUGAAUAGUCCCGUGUCUCAUCAUCCACUUUCCCAUAAGGACCGGACAAUCGAAUCCUCCAGUGAGCCUUUCCCCAGACUCUGUGAGGUGAACAUUGCCACAUUUAACCUCCAUUUUGGGGAACUUUGGAAUGUUUUAGGUGGAUUUAAGCCCUGAGAACUGAAGAAUUUCUCCCAGUCUUCUAAAGUCACAGUCUGUUGGGGACUACUUGUGCGGUGGUUGCCAGGGUCUGGGCUCCGACCUACCGGUCCUCUCAGCUCUCCACACUGUGGCCUCAGGAGAGAGGGGAAGGACAGCGAGGUGGGGAGACACGCACAGGGCUGAGGGAGAAGCCCCACUCCCGCCCUGAGUCCACCGUGGUGCUGUCUGUCCUGUACUGUCAGCCAGUGACUGCUGGCAUGAGGAAGCUUCUUUGGGGAGAAAUAUUUUUUCUCUCUUGCUCUCUGACAAAUUUCCUUUAAAUUGAUCUCACUGUGUUUAAAAUUUUUAUCGCUACCAUAAUGCAAUCUGGUGGUUUCAGAUUCUAUUUGCAGCUCUAACUAACUUUAUGAGCCUUCCUCCAUAUAAACUCUUUUCAGGGUCAUUCGUUGGUUGAAAAUGGGAUAAGAGUAAACUGUCGUUCCCAGGCAAACUUUUGUUGAUGAAUAUCACCUAAGAUAAGACCUGGUAGGAGACGGGCUUUAGAUAGCAGGAUCUGAACACAAGGCAGCAGUUCCCGUGAUGGGGGACGUUGAUGAGUCUCCGGUUAGACAGGGCCCUUCUAGACCUGGAGGAUGAAAUCAGCAUGUUGUCCAUCAAGCAAAGACAUUUAAAAGCAUCUAAAGAGGCAAAAAGCAUCCCCAGAUCAGUAUUCACAUGUAGGCGUUACAAGGCAAAAUACAGAAGCAUCACUCAGAAGGCCUGCUGGUCGUUUACGGAAAUGAACACAGCAGGGAGCUGUGCCGAGACACUGAGAAGUCACUGUUUCCUGGGCAGUGUUGAUAGCUUUUUAUCUGUCCCCUUAAGGGGGAAGGCAGAGAUGGACCAAGACAAAGAAGUCAUUGCUCAGUUCUAAGUUUCGAAAUACAGUUCUUAAGUCUACAGAAGAGAGAGCCAUCUAAAAGCCAAAGUGCUUUUGAUUUUUAUUUUCAAGAGGCAGGCUUUGUUGGGAGAGAAUUGUAUGAACAUGGAGACACAUAUGUGUAAUAAGCCUUGAACAUAAUGAGAAUCCCCCAUGAAAAUACUUAAAGAUGGGAAACAGGCCCCAGGGGAGGCCCCAACUCAGCAGUGCAUUCUGGAGCCUUAAAUUUCCUCUAUGUACUAAACUCUGCUUUUGGAAAAGAAAAAGACACCCACAAAUUAAAUCCAAACCUCUGACAAAAUGGGCCGAAGGAUGAGCAAUGGCACGCAUCUGAUUUACACCCAUGUUGGCUCCCCAGGGGGCCGAGCCUCAGCUAGACCAGAGCUCCACUCGGCAGGGCGGAGUCGUCUGCAAAUGCAGACCCACCCUGGCGUCUCCCCAUCAGUCGCUGCCCCGCACUACAGGGGCAUUCGUUUGUGUUCUCUUGUUCUUUUUUCUAAACUCACAACCGAGAAAAUGUUCAAUAAGUAAAAUUACCCAUGAAUGACAUAUAAUUUUAUCCAUAUUUCUUACAGAGGUUGUCUCCAUCAGACUUCAACAACUAGUUGAAGCCAUCAGGAAGGGAUUACUGUUGUUCUGAGAUGUGUAAACAAUUGAUUAUAUGAGAUUCUCAUUAGCCUUGGCAUCUGGCAGGCUCCCCAUGUGUCCAAGAGUUCAUGUGUGCGUGCACACAGACACACACACACACACACACUGAAUGGGGAAAGAGGGAUCGGUAGAUAUAUAGAC